GGAUCUGUAGUGUAGUGGUUAUCACCUCUGCUUUGUGCGCAGAAGGUCCUGGGUUCAAUCCCCAGCAGUACCA
rfam:Oreochromis niloticus linkage group LG17, whole genome shotgun sequence.